AAAMGACUCUCGGCAACGGAUAUCUCGGCUCUUGCAUCGAUGAAGAACGUAGCGAAAUGCGAUACUUGGUGUGAAUUGCAGAAUCCCGUGAACCAUCGAGUCUUUGAACGCAAGUUGCGCCCGAAGCCAUUAGGCCGAGGGCACGCCUGCCUGGGUGUCACA
rnacentral:rRNA from 1 species